UCAUUUAUACAUUUGUCACAAUGAAAACAUUAAUUGCAAAUAACUGGUGGUGGUUUAUCGGACAACAAAACGUUGGUUCGUAAGACCUCUAUGUAGUUAUAUGUAGAAAAGGCUUGUC
rfam:Chishuiella changwenlii strain DSM 27989 genome assembly, contig: Ga0131172_101